UACGGGGGGGGCAAGCGUUGUUCGGAAUUACUGGGCGUAAAGGGCGCGUAGGCGGCUCGCUAAGUCGGGUGUGAAAACUCUGGGCUCAACCCAGAGCCUGCAUUCGAAACUGACGAGCUAGAGUUCUGGAGGGGAAAGCGGAAUUCCUGGUGUAGCAGUGAAAUGCGUAGAUACCAGGAGGAACACCGGUGGCGAAGGCGGCUUUCUGGACAGAAACUGACGCUGAGGCGCGAAAGCUAGGGGAGCAAACAGG
rnacentral:rRNA from 1 species